rnacentral:rRNA from 1 species
AUUGAACGCUGGCGGCAGGCCUAACACAUGCAAGUCGAGCGGUAGCGGGAAAGUAGCUUGCUACUUUUGCCGGCGAGCGGCGGACGGGUGAGUAAUGCCUGGGAAAUUGCCCAGUCGAGGGGGAUAACAGUCGGAAACGACUGCUAAUACCGCAUACGCCCUACGGGGGAAAGCAGGGGACCUUCGGGCCUUGCGCGAUUGGAUAUGCCCAGGUGGGAUUAGCUAGUUGGUGAGGUAAUGGCUCACCAAGGCGACGAUCCCUAGCUGGUCUGAGAGGCUGAUCAGCCACACUGGAACUGAGACACGGUCCAGACUCCUACGGGAGGCGGCAGUGGGGAAUAUUGCACAAUGGGGGAAACCCUGAUGCAGCCAUGCCGCGUGUGUGAAGAAGGCCUUCGGGUUGUAAAGCACUUUCAGCGAGGAGGAAAGGUUGAUGCCUAAUACGUAUCAACUGUGACGUUACUCGCAGAAGAAGCACCGGCUAACUCCGUGCCAGCAGCCGCAGUAAAAC